CCUGGUGCUCCUUGAGCGCUCACUGCUCACAGGCUCUCCAUCCGUCCUGAGAAGGGGUUAUUAAUUCCAGAGUUCUCUGCCAACUCUAAUCUGAGGCACUAUAAUCCUUCCAGCGCCCUGGCCACCGACCCAUCCGGAGCUCUGUUGCUCUGUUGAUAAAAGCACAACAUGUUGCCCCUAUCAUCCCACACACCCCUCUUGGUUCUGCCAAUGCAUAACCAAGACUAGCUUAAUUUGAUAGAUCAUUCGGGAGGUGUCAUCUAAUUGUUCUGAUAGUCCUUCUGCUGUAUCCAUGGUAAAUUUGACAAAACAUUGCUGAUUUUAUAUAAAUUAUACAAUCAAUAUUUUUGUGAAUGGUUGAACACAAAAACAGAAUUCAUUCAAACCCCUGCCACUAUUUGAUUGCAUCAUGUGGCUGUUACUCCUUGCUUGGCAGACGUAGUUUGUAGGCUCCGGGUGUGUCUGCAUCUGGCUCUGGAACUUUGCGUUUCUAUUGUCGAAAUACAAACUCAUGUACAGCAGUUAGUUGUUCAAAAACAUAUUUCCUUUGAUUCUAUUUUUAAUUGUUCUAAUGGAAGUCCCUUAUGGGGACCUUGAAAUGUAAGUGAAAGCAUGAAUCUAACCGUAAGCCUUACGUGCAAAGUUAGCUGUGUCAUUCUAUUAGAUUUGUAUGUGAUAACUCAGUAUUGCUAUAGAUAUUAAUUGAUGUCUAAUUGAUAUCUCUCAGAGAGAUACAAGGUACUCACCUUGCUUCUGGAAACAUUGGACCCGAAAUUUGUAUGUGUUUUAAAUAUGUUUGUAUUUAUAAUUGAUAAUACCUCAUUUGUAUUCCUUAUUUAAUGUUUUAUGUGUGUAUAGAUGUGUGUGUGUGUGUGUGUGUGUGUGUGUGUGUGUGUGUGUGUGUGUGUGUGUGUGUGUGUGUGUGUGUGUGUGUGUGUGUGUGGAUGUGUGUAUAUGUGUAUAUAGAUGUGUGUGUGUGUGUGUGUGUGUGUGUGUGUGUGUGUAGUUGUUUAUAAAGAUAAUAAUUGCAUCUAACCAGUUCUAUUUAGUGCUUGGAACAGUGUUUGCUGAAUAUACACUGGCCCAUUGUCUGAACUUAUCUCUGAUUGAAUUUCAAACCUUGGCAUGACUUCUCUAGUCAGAAACUUGAUUAUUGUAGCCGCACUUUGGUCUUUUGAUGGGACUGCUUCUACCCAUCUGCUGAACCUGUCAAGGAUAACUAUCAUGCACAACAUGUCAACAUAGUUCAUGACCAAAUGUCAAAAUGGUCCUUCAGGUGUGGGAAUGUGUCCCAAUGUA